UCAGAACUGACUUAUUGUGCUAAGUCCGACACGUUCUAUGGAUUUUCGGAUUACGGCAUUGUAAAGAAGGUCGAAAGGAAUGAUCCUACAAAACUGGCAACUCAAGCAGUUGUAAUAAUGGUCUCUGGGAUAUACAGUAGAUUCAAGCAGCCUGUUGGAUAUUUUCUUGCUCACAAUACCCUUGGAAGUGAAAUUCAAAUGAAGCUCACAAGAAAAAGUAUUAUUGCUAUUCGUGAUACCGGACUCAUACCGAUAGCUCUGGUGAUGGACCAGUCUACAACAAAUCAAAAAAUGAUUCGUGAAGCUGGCGGAACUGCUGAACACCCAAUAAUACAAGUUGACAACGAAAAUAUAGCCGUUAUGUUUGAUCCACCUCAUUUGUUGAAAAAUGCACGAAAUGCACUUUAUAAGUACAACGCUGUAUUCGAAGACCAGAUAGCCUCAUUUAAUCACAUCAAGCUUCUUUUUGAAACUGAUGUGGCAUCCACGUUGCGUUUAGCUCCCAAACUUCUUUAUAAAGCUAUUCAACUUCCACCGUUUUCGAAAAUGAAUGUUUCUAUAGCAACACGUACGUUAAGCGAAUCAUGUGCUAUUGCCAUUCGACAUUAUGUGGAAAAAGGAUCACUACCAACAGCAGCACUACAAUCAGCGUCUUUUAUCGCACUCCACGAUAAACUAUUCGAUACAUUCAAUUCGAAAGAACGUUAAGUGAAUUCAAUUGGCAAGCCUUACAGAACUCCAAUAACAGACAAUUCUGUGCAUCUUAAAUUUCUAGAGGAAACACAACGAGUCUUCAAGACAAUGUACUAUACUGUAAAUACGUGCUUCAACAUUAAAACAGCAAAAAAAUUGUCCAGAGCACUAACUAGUGCCCAAAAUCGUCCGGUAUACCUUAAAGGUUUUAUAGAGAACAUCAACGCUUUGAAGUGGAUUUGGAACACGCUAAAUGAACAAUACAGCUGCAAUUAUCUAUGCACAAACCCACUGUGCCAGGACUGCUUGGAGAACUGUUUUUUCUGAAAUUCGACGCCGUUGUGGGUUUAAUGAAGCUCCUAAUGCUUUCCAAUUUUGCACUGCAUUUAAAUAUGCCAUGAUAUCAUCCAGUAAAUCACGUAACAUCUCCAAUGAUGGUAUGAAUUGUGAAACUUUCACGGCGGUGUCAAACACUCCCACAUUUGAUUUCGAACCAUUAAAUGUUGAUGCACCCUAUCAGUUCCUCGCGAAGGACAUAAACGCAUUGAUAUAUAUAUCAUUGGAGCAGCAGUUCAUAAACUGCCUCAUGCAAGAUGUCGUUCAGUGUUGAAAAUUGAACAGGAUAACGCUUCCUCGCAUAAUGAAGAUUACGCUUUUUGCUAAUUAAAAUCUCAAUUUUCUUUUCGUCAGAUUAACAUUCCUAACAACAAACUGUAUGAUAUUGGGUUAGUUUCAUUUGCCGUAUUUAAACAAAAAUUGAAGAAAAAUUUAUAUGAAAAUAGAAAACAUGUUAAAUUGCGAAUGAAACAAUAUGUCAAAUACGAAAGCUUCGGAACCUCAGUUUGCAAAUCAUGUUUUACCAAAUUAAUGGAUUGUAUUUUUAAUACGUUUAUUAAGGGAUUUUUAAAAGAGACUCACUUCAGGAACAAAAUAACAGCGAAUAAUAAGCGUCGGCAGAAACGCAACCGCAAAGCUGUUUGCAUGAAUUUGUACGAAUUUAUUUAGAAAGCUCCCGUACUCUUGUUAAUUAAUAAAAAUACAAUGAAUUUGUGCGCAUUUUUACUUAUUUUAUAUCUAAGCUCUUCCAUCUGAAAAGUACGACUGAAAACAUCGAUACCGAAUUCCUAAAAUUGAAAAUUAACGUCGAUCUACUGAUCUUGCUUGUCUCCUUGCCUAUUCGCCCUUAUUCUGAAUAACGUCGUAUCGGUUUUUCGCUCGUAUUUCAUUUGUAUUCCCCAUAACGCUAGCAAAAUCAAAGGUAGCUAUGAUUCGAUCGAACCACAUUCAUCAAUACGUCGUUAUUCAGAAUAAGGGCGAAUAUCUAAAGAUUUUACGAAAGGUUCAAUCCUAGUACUCGUUCUCUACGUACCAAAUCCGC